UUCAGGGAGGUGAAGGAGCUCAGUGGACGUAUGAAUGGAGAGCAGCCAAGUUAAACACACCUCCAACAUCCAAUGAACACAGAAUCAUCAGAGCUACUGAGUCUGACAGUGGAGGAUACAGCUGCCGGGGCAGAAGGGACUAUUUCUUCUCAGAGUGGAGUGAUAUCAUCACACUGACUGUAUCAUAUAAACCAAAGGCCAAACUGAGAGCUGAUAACACGACUCUUCCAGUAGGGGGCAGUGUGACCCUGACCUGCUCUGUGAACCCAUCAUCAUCAUCUGGAUGGAAAUACUACUGGUACAGAGAUAAUACCACAGUGGAUGUUGUCUCCCCAUCAAAUGGACAAAUCAGUGUCUCACAGGAAGGACUCUACAGGUGCAGAGGAGGAAGAGGAAACCCAGUUUACUACACAGAGGACAGCCAAGAAGUUCAGAUUAACAAAACUUUAACUGUGUCAGGAGCUGACAGCUCUUCAUCUCCUGUGUGGUUGAUUGUUGGACUGGUUUGUGGAG